CCUUUACCUUAAAGCUCAGCAUGAGCUCAAAUAGACAGGCUUUCAACCAAAGCUUGGUGUCUCUUGGUAGUCUCUAAGGUGUCUCGAAGAAAUGUCUUUACACACGACACUGCAAGCGAGAGUGAUCUUCAGUAGAGGGUCGCAGGGGUGCUGGUGCCUAUCUCCAGCGGUCAACAGGCGAAGAGCUUUUUCCUUUCAGGGGUUGCCACAGCGAUCACCUGUCUUCAUCGAACCCCAUCUUCAGCAUUUUCUUCUUUUACACCCACUACCUUCAAGUCCUCUUUGACUCCAUCCUUAAAUCCUCUUUGGUCUUCCUCUAGGCCUCCUGCCUGGCACUUCCAGCCUCACCAUCCUUCUACCGAUGUACUCAGUAUCCCUUCUCUGACCAUGUCUGGCCGCUCUGGCUUUAUCUCCAAAACAUUGAACAUGAGCUGUCCCUCUGAUAAAGUCAUUCCUGAUCCUAUCCAUCCUCAUCACUCAAGAUAACCUCAAUAUCUUCAUCUCCACUACCUCCAGCUCUGACCCCUGUCUCUUCCUCAGUGCCGCUGUCUCUAAAUCAAACAACAUUGCUGGUCUCACCACCGUCUUGUACACCUUUCCUUUCAUUCUUGCUGACAUUUUGUUUAUCAUACAACACACCUGACACUGUUCCCCGUCCAUUCCAACCUACCUGGACACGUUUCUUCACCUCUUUUCUAAACUUACGGUUGCUCUGGACUGCUAACCCUCCUCUGCAUCAUUUCAACCAACUCUCUAGCUUUUCCCGUCAUAGUCCCAACAUUCAAAGUUCGUACUCUCAGGCCUAGACUCUUGCCUUUCCUCUUCUCUCUCUACUUACGGACGCAUCUUCUUCCUCAUCUGCCUCUUUUUAUUUGUUGACCAACAGUGCCCAAUUUCAACCAGUACCCUGUGUGUCACCGCCAUCAAUGGCGGUCGUUGAUAUGCAUUACACUAACUAAAGCCUAUAUAUGCUUAUUUUAAUCUCAGUAUAAAUACAGUUGUUCAGUAUUUAAAACAAUAUCACACACUUAAAAUAUCUCACAGAGAACUGUUAAAUUUAUCAUCAUGAAAUUAAGAGUAUGGUGCAAAUCUACCCAUGCCCACCUGAACCGAUAGGCAAGAAGAGAAUUAAUCACAGAAGCAGCUAAGCAACCCAUGGUUACUCUGGAGGAGCUGCAGAGAUCCACAGCUUAGGUAAAAGUUGCCAGUAAAAUCAUGAGGUGUGCAUUCCAUAAAUCUGGAUGUUAUGGAGGAGUUUCAAAAAGAGAAACACUAUUGAAAGAAAGCCAUAAGAAGUUAAGCAUAAAAUCUUGUCCAAUGCUAGGUGCUCCGGUCAGAUUACACCAAAAUGUAUGCAAAAAAAGGACUUGUAUGAAAAUAAAUAUAUCUAAAUAUCUGUGCAUUACCCUCAACAUAUUUUCCCACACUGAAAUACAAUGGUAGCAGCAUCAUGUUGUCGUAAUAUUUCUCUUCAGCAAAGACAAGGAAGCCAGUCAGAGGAAGUGGAAAGUGAAUGGGACUGAAUACAUGUUAAAUGCUGGAAGAAAACCUAGCAGAGACUGCAAAAGACUUUAUACUGCAGGGAAGGUUCACCUACCAGCAGGACAAAAAGCCUCAGGCAGCCAGAACUUGAACAAAAUGAUUUAAAUCAAAGCAUAUUCUUGUGUUAGAGUGGCCAGGUCGAAGCCUUGCAAAUGAUGUUCAUUAAAGCUCUGAAUGAAAUCUGAGCGAGCUUUUGCUAAUUUGCAAAACAAUGGGCAAAAUGUAGGGGGUAUGCCCAAAGAGACAUACCCCCUAAAAUUGGCUGCUGUAAUUGCAGUGAAAGGCUCUACAAGGUUUUUCUACUUUUAUUUGUAGAAAUAAUAAAUAAAUAAAUUAUCAUAAUA